UUCGAGAAUCUUUCACAAUGGGGGCAACCCUGAUGGAGCGACGCCGCGUGGAGGAUAAGGUCUUCGGAUUGUAAACUCCUGUCAUGCGUGAACAAGGUUGCUUGGUUAAUACCUGGGCAAAUUGAUGGUAACGCAAGAGGAAGAGACGGCUAACUCUGUGCCAGCAGCCGCGGUAAUACAGAGGUCUCAAGCGUUGUUCGGAAUCACUGGGCGUAAAGGGUGCGUAGGUGGCGUGGUAAGUCAGAUGUGAAAGCCCGGGGCUCAACCUCGGAACUGCAUCCGAUACUGCCAUGCUAGAGUACUGGAGAGGUGACUAGAAUUCUCGGUGUAGCAGUGAAAUGCGUAGAUAUCGAGAGGAAUACCAAAGGCGUAGGCAGGUCACUGGACAGUUACUGACACUGAGGCACGAAGGCCAGGGGAGCGAACGGGAUUAGAUACCCGUGUAGUCC
rnacentral:rRNA from 1 species